AUGGACGACGGCUCGUGUAAGAAAGUCCGCAAGAACGGACUCAACUGUCUUGUUUGCGAGAAAGCCAAUUCCGCCGGGACGUUCGAGCGGUGCUCUUACGAGUCGGACCCGAAGGAGAACGCCUACGAGUACUCGACCAAAGAGACUUACGGCUCGAAGAACAGGCCCUCCGAGAGGUACCGACGCUCCCGAGUCAAGAAAGACAUUAACCUCAGGAACAGUCCGUUCGACUCGGGGCUUUUGCCCAAAGGUCCGUCCAUCGGACGAGGCAAGAGCGACUUCUUGGGAAGGAACAACGGUUUCAAGUCGGACUUGGGCAAGUCGUAUUCCCUAAGUGGGAGCUCGGAUGACGAUUUUUCCAGCAGUGUCUUCCCGGAUGUGAAAGUCCCUGGUUUAGGAGGCGGCAAGUCCAACCAUUUCUCGGAUGAAUUCUCGUCCGACCUCGAUGCUGCCAUCAAACCCGAGUCCGAUUUCCUUCCCAAAUUCGCAUCCAAGUCUUCGUUGAACUCUGGAGGAGGUCUGUUCAAAAAGCAAAGACCGUCACUGUUCGAUAACCGACCGCAGUUGAGGCUCAAACCGGAGAAGAACUCCUACGACAGUCUCCUCGGAGACUUCACCGCCAAGGACCGAUCCCACUGCAAGAAAGAGAUCAAGGACGGGUCCACCUGUUACUAUUGCACCGACGACGAAGGGUCGGAACACGAGGAGUGCAUGUACGUGAAGAAGUCUCAACCGGAGAACAAGGAGGUCAAGUACCACCAGUCGAAGGAAGUCAAGACACCGCUGCGGGGCCACAAAGCGGCGGACAAAUUCGACGAGAUAUUGAACUCAAACACCGCCCACAACCCGGUUUACAGGCAGAACGACGAGGGGAUGGACUCCGUCGAGGACUUUGAAGAGGAUGUAGAGUCGACUUACGCCAAACACGAAGCCGCGAGUCCCGGCUUUUACCACGAGGGGUCCCCGGCUAUGUCGACAGUCAGUCGGACGGACUUUAAGGGCGAUGAGAGCCCGACGGGGUAUCGGUACAAUACCCAGCAUACAACAUCGCCGAACGGCCGAGAGGAUGGUGCUCCUACUCAGAAGCCAUCCAACCGUUUAAGUUACGGAAUGUUGGACUAUCCAACGAAACCACCGCCCGCACCGGUCGACGCGGAUGAGGAUUUGGACAAUCUGGAACCCGCCGUCGGGGGCGGGGAUGCGGAGCCCCUGGGGGAGAAUUCCAGCAACAACCUCCGCCACCACGAGGCACGAAGUGAUGAUGAUGUUCAGCUUGUUUACGACAACCAGUUCAAGAUGACCUUGCCCAAGUUCAUGGUUGAGAAGACGGAGCAGGAGGAUGAGUUUGAUAGUACCUACAAAAACAUGCUGAAGAACAUCGAUAAAAUGUGA
rnacentral:lncRNA from 1 species